rnacentral:lncRNA from 1 species
UCAGAACAAGAUCAUCCCAUGGAAUAUUGAACUCUUCUACAUCACUAAGAAGUUCUCCAUCAUUUAUUGUAUCUGCUCUUGGGUGAGACAAUGCCAUCAGUGGUUGAGCAUCUUCCCCUAUUGGAGGGACAUGCUUCACAGGAACCAGGUCCUUGUCCACGUUCAUUGAGUUUAACAUACUUGAAGGAUUAUACAUUUUGGCACACGAACCAGGUCCUUGUCCAAGUUCAUUGAGUUUAACAUACUUGAAGGAUGAUCCAUUUUGGAAAGUUGAGAUUCUUUAUCACGCCCCUUUUUCCAUGCAUUUGAUGGAGGCAGAGAUAACAGAGAAAUUGCAUCACGGUUACUUGAACUUGGGACU